rnacentral:rRNA from 1 species
GACGAACGCUGGCGGCGUGCCUAAUACAUGCAAGUCGAACGCUGAAGGAGGAGCUUGCUUCUCUGGACGAGUUGCGAACGGGUGAGUAACGCGUAGGUAACCUGCCUGGUAGCGGGGGAUAACUAUUGGAAACGAUAGCUAAUACCGCAUAAGAGUAGAUGUUGCAUGACAUUUGCGUAAAAGGUGCAAUUGCAGCACUACCGGAUGGACCUGCGUUGUAUUAGCUAGUUGGUGGGGUAACGGCUCACCAAGGCGACGAUACAUAGCCGACCUGAGAGGGGGAUCGGCCACACUCAGACUGGGACACGGCCCAGACUCCUACGGGAGGCAGCAGUAGGGAAGCUUAGGAAAGGGACGGAAGUCUGACCGAGCAACGCCGCGGGAGUGAAGAAGGGUAUCGGAUCGUAAAGCUCUGUUGUCAGAGAAGAGCGAGUAUGGGAGUGGAAAGUUCACACUGUGACGGUAUCUUAUCAGAAAGGGACGGCUAACUACGUG